GACGACCGCUGGCGGCGUGCUUAACACAUGCAAGUCGAACGAAGUGGCGAACGGGUGAGUAACGCGUAAUCAACCUGCCCUUCAGAGGGGGACAACAGUUGUAAACGACUGCUAAUCCCGCAUACUGAAGGAGGGGAUUGCGUCUGAUUAGCUAGUUGGAGGGGUAACGGCCCACCAGGGCGAUGAUCAGUAGCCUGUCUGAGAGGAGGACCGGCCACAUUGGGACUGAGAAACGGCCCGGACUCCUACGGGAGGCAGCAGUGGGGAAUCUUCCGCAAUGGACGAAAGGCGGACGGAGCAACGCCGCGGGAGUGAUGACGGCCUUCGGGUUGGAAAGCUCUGUUAAUCGGGACGCGGUACCGGAAUAGAAAGCCACGGCUAACUACGUGCCAGCAGCCGCGGUAAUUC
rnacentral:rRNA from 1 species